CCCUGCUGUAUAAAGACGGUAAAUCGCUGUAAAGUUGAUUAUUCCGUAUUUAGUGGCAUAAAACAAAGGUUUCUCCUAAAUAAAGGUUACAAUAAGAACGGUGCUGUGUGGAAAUGGAACCCUGGCUGGAGCGGCUCGGGGUUCACGUCAGGUGUCAAACAGGGUACAGCGCAGUAGAGUACAGUGCUUGAACAGCCAGGUCUCUGGAGCGAGUUGAGGGAGAAAGAGGCGGUGGUGCUGACCGAGUCCAACACACAUUGCCACACAGGGGUUCGGUGUCCUUCAAACCACAGCAGAAGAUCAUCUCCAAGAGUGUAUAUAAUCUGCGGAGGAGAGAACGGCGGUGCAGUCUGCAGAUUAUUUUUCAGAUGGCCAACAUAACACACCUGAAGUUUUUUCAGGCUCUUCCUAUAGCAAAGGGCACCAGUGUAGAGCAGUGCUGACAACUGCAGGACUGCCGUUCUGGAACUCCGAUGAAGGGAGCGAUGGCGUGGCCCGUACUGCUUCUCCUGCUGCUCCUGCUGGGUGCGCUGCCCGACGCACGUGUUUUCUCCUGGUUUCUACUCCUCUCAGCAAAUGUGCUGGAUGCCGUGCUGCUGAGGAACUCUGGGAAGGUGAUGAUUGACGACGACAAGGAGGACAGCGGUGCUUCUGCCUCCUCCGUUCCACAGAGGCUUCUCUGGUGCUACUGCUACCACCACUGCCCUGAGGACUCCUUCAACCACACCUGCAGGACAGACGGAUACUGCUUCGCCUUGGUGGAAGAGGAAGAUGGAGGGGCAAUUAUUUACACCUAUGGAUGUCUGGGGCUUAUUGGCUCUCAGUUUCAGUGUAGGGAUACAGAGAACUCGCGGCAGCGACGGGCGCUAGUAUGCUGUACGGACCGAGAUUACUGCAACCGAGACCUGCACCCGACCCUUCCUCCCCCAAAGCCAUCUGGUUAUGUGGACAACAGCAUCCUAUACGUGGUCCUCUCCAUCAUGGUCGGCAUCUGCAGCAUCAUCCUCGCCCUGCUCGUAAUCUUCUGCUGCUACAGAUACAGGCGUCGCGAAUGGCGGCCACACUACGGCAUUGCUUUGGAGCAGGAUGGAGGCUACCUUCCCCCGGGAGAAUCCCUGAAAGACCUGAUGGAACAGUCGCUGAGCUCUGGCAGCGGCUCAGGGCUCCCCCUGCUGGUGCAACGGACCAUUGCCAAGCAGAUUCAGAUGGUGACGCAAAUCGGCAAGGGCCGCUACGGUGAGGUGUGGAUGGGUCGGUGGCGUGGGGAGAAGGUGGCUGUCAAGGUAUUCUUCACCACUGAAGAGGCCAGCUGGUUUCGUGAAACGGAGAUCUACCAGACUGUGCUGAUGAGGCAUGAGAACAUCCUGGGUUUCAUUGCUGCAGACAUCAAGGGCACAGGCUCCUGGACACACCUGUACCUGAUCACGGACUAUCACGAGAACGGCUCCCUGCACGACUACCUCAAGUGCACCGUGCUGGAUAGUCGGGCCACGCUGCAGCUGGCGUACUCCGCCGUCUCUGGUCUCUGUCACCUGCACGCGGAGAUCUUCGGCACGCGGGGCAAGCCUGCCAUCGCGCACCGGGACCUCAAAAGCAAGAACAUCCUCGUGAAGAAGAACGGGAUGUGCUGCAUUGCUGACUUGGGACUGGCUGUCAAGUUCAUCAGUGACACCAACGAGGUGGACAUCCCACACAACACUCGGGUCGGAACCAAACGCUACAUGCCUCCUGAGGUUUUGGAUGAAAGCCUGAAUCGGGCCCACUUCCAGUCCUACAUUACGGCCGACAUGUAUAGCUUUGGACUGAUCUUGUGGGAGAUUGCUCAGAGAUGUGUGUCUGGAGGAAUAGUGGAGGAGUAUCGGCUGCCUUACCACGACCUGGUCCCCGCAGACCCAUCCUAUGAGGACAUGAGGGAGGUGGUUUGUAACAAGAGGAGAAGACCUUCAUUCCCCAACCGCUGGAGCAGUGAUGAGUGCCUCAGGCAGAUGGGAAAGCUGAUGUCUGAGUGCUGGGCACACUCACCCGCCUCUCGUCUAACAGCCCUGAGGGUUAAGAAGACGUUGGCCAAGAUGUCCGAAUGCCAGGAUAUAAAGCUUUGAGAAUGAGGAGCAGCGCAAGGGGUGGAACGUGGCGGUUCUGCCACUGUUGAAGACGAUCAGUUGUCGGCUGAAGAUCAGGUCACCUUGAUGCCAACAAAAUGGUGUAGAGGCCUCUUUCAGCAUACAUGCAGGACGAUGGCAGCAGCUUGCGGAAUUGCUUUGUAGGUUAAGUUUGUGUGCCAGCAUCCUCCAGUCAUUGCCCCGCAUCUGAGGGGCGUCCAGGCUGCUGCACAGCUUCUGGCGGAU